rnacentral:rRNA from 1 species
GGGAAAGUGGGGGAUCGUAAGACCUCACGUUAUUCGAGCGGCCGACGUCUGAUUAGCUAGUUGGUGGGGUAUGGCUCACCAAGGCGACGAUCAGUAGCGGGUCUGAGAGGAUGAUCCGCCACACUGGGACUGAGACACGGCCCAGACUCCUACGGGAGGCAGCAGUGGGGAAUUUUGGACAAUGGGGGCAACCCUGAUCCAGCCAUUCCGCGUGAGUGAAGAAGGCCUUCGGGUUGUAAAGCUCUUUCAGCAGGAACGAAACGGUAGAGGCUAAUACCCUCUGCUAAUGACGGUACCUGCAGAAGAAGCACCGGCUAACUACGUGCCAGCAGCCGCGGUAAUACGUAGGGUGCGAGCGUUAAUCGGAAUUACUGGGCGUAAAGCGUGCGCAGGCGGAUUGUUAAGCAAGACGUGAAAUCCCCGGGCUUAACCUGGGAAUGGCGUUUUGAACUGGCAGUCUAGAGUGUGUCAGAGGGGGGUGGAAUUCCACGUGUAGCAGUGAAAUGCGUAGAGAUGUGGAGGAACACCAAUGGCGAAGGCAGCCCCCUGGGAUAACACUGACGCUCAUGUACGAAAGCGUGGGUAGCAAACAGGAUUAGAUACCCUGGUAGUCCACGCCCUAAACGAUGUCAACUGGUUGUUGGGGGAGUGAAAUCCCUUAGUAACGAAGCUAACGCGUGAAGUUGACCGCCUGGGGAGUACGGUCGCAAGAUUAAAACUCAAAGGAAUUGACGGGGACCCGCACAAGCGGUGGAUGAUGUGGAUUAAUUCGAUGCAACGCGAAAAACCUUACCUACCCUUGACAUGUCCAGAAUCCUGCAGAGAUGCGGGAGUGCCCGAAAGGGAAUUGGAACACAGGUGCUGCAUGGCUGUCGUCAGCACGUGUCGUGAGAUGUUGGGUUAAGUCCCGCAACGAGCGCAACCCUUAUCAUUAGUUGCUACGCAAGGGCACUCUAAUGAGACUGCCGGUGACAAACCGGAGGAAGGUGGGGAUGACGUCAAGUCCUCAUGGCCCUUAUGGGUAGGGCUUCACACGUCAUACAAUGGUCGGUACAGAGGGUUGCCAAGCCGCGAGGUGGAGCCAAUCCCAGAAAGCCGAUCGUAGUCCGGAUUGUUCUCUGCAACUCGAGAGCAUGAAGUCGGAAUCGCUAGUAAUCGCGGAUCAGCAUGUCGCGGUGAAUACGUUCCCGGGUCUUGUACACACCGCCCGUCACACCAUGGGAGUGGAAUCUGCCAGAAGUAGGUAGCCUAACCGCAAGGAGGGCGCUUACCACGGUGGGUUUCAUGACUGGGGUGAAGUCGUAACAAGGUA